rnacentral:rRNA from 1 species
CAUGCAAGUCGAGCGGCAGCGGAAAGCAGCUUGCUACUUUGCCGGCGAGCGGCGGACGGGUGAGUAAUGUCUGGGAAACUGCCUGAUGGAGGGGGAUAACUACUGGAAACGGUAGCUAAUACCGCAUAACGUCGCAAGACCAAAGAGGGGGACCUUCGGGCCUCUUGCCAUCAGAUGUGCCCAGAUGGGAUUAGCUAGUUGGUGGGGUAAUGGCUCACCAAGGCGACGAUCCGUAACUGGUCUGAGAGGAUGAUCAGUCACACUGGAACUGAGACACGGUCCAGACUCCUACGGGAGGCAGCAGUGGGGAAUAUUGGACAAUGGGCGAAAGCCUGAUCCAGCCAUGCCGCGUGUGUGAAGAAGGUCUUCGGAUUGUAAAGCACUUUAAGUUGGGAG